GAUUUCUGGUUUGACGUGGCUGGCCCGCCGGGGUUACCUGGUGAGUGCCGGUUCAGGUCUGCCAUCCUUCUAGAGAACGGCCUUACCCUUCACUGGGCCGGGGUCGCCAUCUAGAUCUUUUACUUUGAAAAAAUUAGAGUGUUUAAAGCAGGCUUACGCUAUGAAUACAUUAGCAUGGAAUAAUAAUUUAGGACUUCGGUCUCUAUUUUGUUGGUUUCUAGAGCUGAAGUAAUGAUUGAUAGGGAUAGUUGGGGGUGCUAGUAUUCAGCGGCCAGAGGUGAAAUUCUUGGAUUCGCUGAAGACUAACUUAUGCGAAAGCAUU
rnacentral:rRNA from 1 species